UUCACCAGCACAUCACGCACGGUUCGGUAGAUUGCUUUCGUUUUAAGGCGGAAAAAAGCUGAUGCUUUAAGAAAAGUUAUUCUUACGCCUCAUUCAACCCAUAACACCAGCUUUGUUUGUAUAAAUGAAGGUUACCUUUUCAUGUAAAGUAUGGUUCAAGCCAGUUAAAUGAUGCUAAAUGUUAAGAUCGUGACACUCCUUACAUUUCAGGUGUCUAAAGAUGUGCCUCACGUGGCUGUCAUCUACAUUAACUGCUGUAAAUAGUUUUUUUU